GAUGAAGAACGUAGCGAAAUGCGAUAAGUAAUGUGAAUUGCAGAAUUCAGUGAGUCAUCGAAUCUUUGAACGCACAUUGCGCCCGCCAGUAUUCUGGCGGGCAUGCCUGUCUGAGCGUCAUUUCAACCCUCAUGCCCCUAGGGCGUGGUGUUGGGGAUCGGCCAAAGCCCGCGAGGGACGGCCGGCCCCUAAAUCUAGUGGCGGACCCGUCGUGGCCUCCUCUGCGAAGUAGUGAUAUUCCGCAUCGGAGAGCGAUGAGCCCCUGCCGUUAAACCCCCAACUUUCCAAGGUUGACCUCAGAUCAGGUAGGAAUACCCGCUGAACUUAAGCAUAUCAAUAAGCGGAGGA
rnacentral:misc_RNA from 1 species